GAUCAGCCACACCGGGAGUGANACACGGCCCGGACUCCUACGGGAGGCAGCAGUGGGGAAUCUUGGACAANGGGGGCAACCCUGAUCCAGCCAUNCCGCGUGUGUGAAGAAGGCCUUCGGGUUGUAAAGCACUUUCAGCAGGGAGGAAGGCUUACUCUUAAUACGGGUGAGUACUUGACGUUACCUGCAGAAGAAGCACCGGCUAAUU
rnacentral:rRNA from 1 species